GCGUUGGUAGUGCAACGGUUCAGCACACGCCCCGGGUUAGGUGGAAUUUGGGUUCGAAUCCCAGCUGACGCA